CCUUCGUCAAACCAUUAUCGACGUAACCUUCGUCAAACCAUCAUUGACGUUACUUUUACGAGAAAGACAAUUUUCAAUCAAAUAUCGGAACUGCCGUUGUUGCUCGACAUCAAGCCCGAUCACUCAACAAUUCCUGUUCAUCUCCAUUUUUUGUUCAAUUUAACCUUAAUUUGUCCAUUUCCUUUCUCCACUCUAAAGUUACGUACAAUUGUGGAUGAAGGGAAAACAAAAGGUACAAGAGAAGACGGAGAGGAACGUGAUAGUGAAUGAUCGGUUUCAUGUAUUUUUUUUUUUUUUUUGAAAUAGGGUUUUCAUGUUUCAUGUAUGUACCCCGAUUAUCUCAGCACCUAACUUUGUUUCCGUUUGUCUCUUUUUCAUAAAAAAUAACAUUGCAAUUUGUCUCUC